UACGUAGGGUGCGAGCGUUAAUCGGAGUUACUGGGCGUAAAGCGUGCGCAGGCGGUGAUGUAAGACCGAUGUGAAAUCCCCGGGCUCAACCUGGGAAUUGCAUCUGUGACUGCAUAGCUAGAGUACGGUAGAGGGGGAUGGAAUUCCGCGUGUAGCAGUGAAAUGCGUAGAUAUGCGGAGGAACACCGAUGGCGAAGGCAAUCCCCUGGACCUGUACUGACGCUCAUGCACGAAAGCGUGGGGAGCAAACAGG
rnacentral:rRNA from 1 species